rnacentral:lncRNA from 1 species
AUGUAUUUAUGAACAUCUUGAUGUGGUGGCAAGACUUCGAUGGAAAGAUUCCUGCACCUGCCAUUUUGAAACCUAGGCCAAUUUGGACUGGGAAACAAGUUUUUAACUUGAUUAUUCCUAAGCAAAUAAAUUUAAUUCGGUUUUCAGCCUGGCAUUCUGAAACAGAAACAGGAUUCAUUACUCCUGGUGAUACGAUGGUCAGGAUAGAGAAGGGAGAGCUUCUAUCUGGUACACUGUGCAAAAAGAGUCUUGGAACAGGCUCUGGAAGUCUUAUCCAUGUCAUUUGGUAAUCAUACUUCAUCAAAAUUUUGUGACUUGAGAGUUGCAUAUGAAUAAGAAUUUUGAAUUCCAUUUUAACUUGUUCUUUUCAGGGAAGAGGUUGGUCCAGAUGCUGCACGCAAGUUCUUAGGUCAUACACAGUGGCUUGUCAACUACUGGUUGCUUCAACAAGGUUUCAGUAUUGGAAUUGGGGAUACUAUUGCAGAUGCGGCCACCAUGGAAAAGAUUAACGAGACAAUUUCUAAAGCUAAGAAUGAGGUGAAGGAGCUUAUCAAACAAGCACAUGAGAAUCAUUUGGAAGCUGAGCCAGGACGCACCAUGAUGGAAUCAUUUGAAAAUAGAGUGAACCAGGUACGAUCUUUCUUGUUGCUCGUGUUGUUAGUAGCCUUUGUUAGUCUUUGGAGAGGAGUAUUUGCCUUUUAAGUUGAGUUGUUUAACUUGAAUCCAAUUCCUUUCCAUUCCAGGUUCUUAACAAGGCUCGUGAUGAUGCUGAGGGCAGUGCGCAGAAGAGUUUGUCUGAAAGCAACAAUUUGAAGGCUAUGGUCACUGCAGGCUCAAAAGGUAGUUUCAUUAACAUUUCACAAAUGACUGCUUGUGUCGGACAACAGAAUGUUGAGGGCAAGCGGAUACCAUUUGGUUUCAUCGAUCGAACGUUGCCACAUUUCACAAAAGAUGACUAUGGUCCUGAAAGUCGUGGUUUUGUGGAGAACUCUUACCUUCGAGGCCUGACACCACAAGAAUUCUUCUUUCAUGCUAUGGGUGGUAGAGAAGGUCUUAUUGAUACAGCUGUCAAGACUUCUGAAACUGGUUUUCUUUUUUCUUGUUUGCACUGACCGUGCUUUUAAGUUUUUGAGCGUGGCAGAGUUUGAAAAUGCAUUUCGUUUUUAAUCUGCCGGUUUUUAUCAAGUGAUAUCGACAUAACGUGUACAUUCAGGAUUAAACUGGACUAACUUAGCCUCUUGAACAUUCAGGAUUAAUACUACAAAACUCAUCAUGUGGAUUUAUGCUCCUACUAGUACCAGGUUAACAGGGAACCUAUGUAAACAUUCAGGAACACUGAGCACCUCCUGGAUUUCAAUUAAGAAAAAAGAAACAUGCAUCUUCAACAACAUCCAGGAGUGCUCCACGAGACCAUGAAACAAUUAUGUUUGCCAGAUUAGGCUGUAUCAUCCUAGUCGAGCUAGGGUGCUCAACCAACCAGUACCAGUACUCCAUGACCAUGCAUGAACCACAAGCUAUGCCUGCAUGCAGGGAACUAAAUUGAGUUAAUGUGCUAAUGGUCAGAUUGGCCAUGUAGCCUUAGCUGUAGUAGCUAGUGGCUAGGGUUUUGAAAACGAGCUAGUCAUAUCUUGGGAAUGUUGGAACAGAUAUGGCUGCACCAUUGACCCCUUGUUCGCGACAUGUAUGGCCUGGCCAGGCCAGCAGGGUUAAUUGCUGCAGAGGAGGAAGCAGCUCGGCUUGACCCUUCUUUACUUCACUCCCAACUUUGGCACUAUGCAAAAAGAAGAUUCCCCAUCACAUCAAACUUACGGUGCAUGCAUGGAGUACUAAAUGUAGAUGAAAUUAAAAACUAAUUACACAGUUUUGUUGUACUUUGCGAGACGAAUCUUUUGAGCCUAAUUAGUCAAUGUUUGGACAAUAAUUCACAAAUACAAACGAAACGCUACAGUGUGCUACAGUGCUGUAACAGUAAUUUAGCACCUCCCAACUUUAGCAACUAAACAAGGCCUUGAUGUGGCAAGUUAAGGAUGCCUGCUGACUUCCAUGGAAGCGCACGCACUUCCCCGAGAGGACCUAGCCACCUAGUAAACGCUUAGCUAGCCUGCUGAUCUAGCCAUCAGUCCAAGUCUGAGCAUGUUGACUACAAGCACCGUGCUAUAUCUGCUACGAGUGUGACUCGCAAGUUUACCUACUGCACGAGAGGUUACCUACCUCUGUAGCAGCUACGUACAUUGCUGCAGCAUACAGUAUCCCACGAGCAAAGUUGCAGAACAAUGCAAGAUCAAAAGCAGGGAUGAUCGAUUUGGCAUGAGCUCCUGGGUUAUUUCCCAAAGGACAGGGAGGAUACCCGCAUGAUUUUUUGUCGUCCAUAUUUCAACAACUAUAUUGUGGCUUAAGUGGCUAUCAGUCUCAAUAGGAAAGUGCUUGCAUGGUUAAAAUGUACAAGUUGUUACGCGAGGUGUUAGCUCUGUUUGGAACAACUUAAAUCCUACUUAUAGACAAAAUAAGCUGAAACUAGCAGCCAAACGACACGUUUUUUCAGCUUCUUCUAGCCACGCUUCUCCCCACCGCUCCUAUUUGUACUAAAACGUAGAAGCUGGAUCAAACCGGCUUCUCAGGGAAGCAUUUUUUUUAAUUUUUGUGCAGUUUAUUUGAGAUGCGCUUCUCCUCGUUGUUUGUACCAAGGCUGUUGUCGAACCGUUGGUUCGACGAAGAAAAGAAUUCUUGGGUUGGGCUAAACAUACACAGUAGAAUAGGAUUUUAUUUUUAUAUUUUUUAUUUUAGUAUUUUGCAAAAAUAUAUGUUAAAACAAAAAAAAUUGCAAAACUGUACACAUACUGUCAUUUGAAACGGCUAUAGCCAGUUCAAUUGGCGGAAAGAGAACUGUAGCAACUUUACCGUCAGUUGAACCGACGAAUUUCCCUUCUCUAGACAGCAUAUAUUCAAAAAAUAAAAACUAAUUUAUAUGAACUCGGAUGGAGAUAAUCUUUAUAUGAAAAUGUAGUUCUCGACAACUUUGUACAAACGUUUUUCAUUUGGAAUCAUAUUGGUGCUCAAAUAAUCGAGCACCAAUAUGAUUCCAAAUGAAAAAAGUUUGAAUCAAAAAGUUGUAGAUCUCGUCAAAAUCUACAAGUUUUAUGCAAAGUUUAUCUCCAUCCGAGUUCAUAUGAAUUAGUUAAGAUUUUUUGAAAAUGUACUAUCCAGAUAAAGGAAAUUUGGCUGGAUUUUAGAUUUGAAUAUUGUAUCGAUUAUUUGAGUACCAAGAUGAUUCCAAAUGAAAAAUAUUUGAACUACAAAGUUGUAGAUCUCGUCGAGAUCUACAAUUUUCAUAUAAGUUUAUCUCCAUCUGAAUUCAUAUAAAUUAGUUUGAUUUUUUAAAAAUAUGCUAUCCAGACAAGGAAAAUUCCACCGGUUGAACCGGCGGUAAGGUUGCUAUAGUGCACCUUUCGCCGGUUAAACUGGCUAUAGCCGUUUCAAACGGCGGUAUGCAUAUAGAUUUUCUAUUUUUUUAUUUAGACAUAUAUUUUUGCAAAAUGCUAAAAUAAAAAGUAAAAAAAUAAAAAAAAUUCGGGCUACUUGCUUAGUAAACAAUAGGAAGGCCGACACAUUUUAGCCCAGCCCACAAAAUUUACGGCCACAAACAGCCAGUCACGAGACGUCCAGCAGGCCCAGCACCAGCAAUCCCACACCUCUUGACUCCUGACCUCAUCCACUCCGCAGUCAGUACUCCACGACCACACACAGACUCGCCUCCGCGUUGACCGCGCAGGGAUCCUACUCGAGCCCAUCCCCACCGUCUCUCCCCGAUCCAACGUCCCACACCACCCGCCCAAUGGGCGGUUUCCCGUGGCUCCCGCGCCCCAUCCCCGGACACGGUCCACAUACACCACCCCAUCCCCCAGCACCGCCUCCACCCGCACUCCAUACACCGAGCCCACGCGUCCACCCGCCCACGCGCACGCCAGCGCACGGUAGCCAACCCGGCGCACGCUACGUCUAUAAAUAGACCCCCACCCCUCCUGUCCUCGGUCUUUCCUCAAACGCACCCCUCUCCCCGUUCCCCUUCCCCCAACCUCGCGGCGGGGGCGAGCGAUCUGUGCUCGGGGCCCGAUCCGCUCGAUUCCUACCCGGCCGAGCCGCCAAAAACACACUACACUCUGCGCACCGCCCCGGGCGGGUGGCUUGGUGCCGCGCGGCGGCGGCCGGGGGGCGCGGGCGGCGGGGGCGCCGCGAUCUGAAACCCUAAGUGGUGGUGGUAGCCGCCGGCGGCGGCGGCGCCGGGUGGGGCCGGGAUGGACGCGAGGUUCCCGUACUCGCCGGCCGAGGUGGCCAAGGUCCAGCUCGUGCAGUUCGGCAUCCUCAGCCCCGACGAGAUCGUAAUACCCCUCGCCCCUCCCAUACCCUCCCCUCCGCCGCCGGCUCUCUUAGCUUUCGUGGUUCGGGCGGGUUGAGUGGGCGGGCGUAGUGUUGGUGGACUCUGAGAUGGGUGUUUGCUAGCUUACUAAGUUGGUCAUGAACUCGAAUUCGAUUGCAGGACAGGAUUCAAAUUCAGUGCACGUUUUGCUGUAAUUCGUGACGGGUUUGAGUGGGUUGAGCUUGAGUACCAGCUUCAGAGUGUCUGUUUUGGUGAAUUCAGUAAAUUAGAAUGUGUACAACUGUAUAGGCUUUCAUAUUCCUAAAAUUUUGAGCAUCCUCAAGUAAGAAUUGAGUGUACCGCCACUGUGACUAUUGGAGAUAUGUGAUUUUUAUCUGCAAAUAGCACUGCCCUGUUGAGAUCUAUGGUUAUAAGUUUGAAUGUAGCACUUGUGCUUUGUGAUUUUGAGAAAUAUGAGCAACUAAUGUGCUGUCGAUGUCGUGAGUCUUAAAUGCAUGGUAUAGUUUCAAUUCAGUAUGUUGUGGCUGUGCGAUUUGCUGUUUGGCAUAUCUGUAUACAUAUACAGUGAUGAAAUCAAUUUUUGUCGUAAGGUUCUGAUUCAGUCAAGUUCAACGGCAACUGAAACGGUUGUGUGUCUGUACGGAUAUAAACACGAAUUACUUGCUAGUUAACAAUAAAGUGGCAUUAAUGAUGAGUUCAAAUGUAUAUUUUUAUUGGGCUCAAUAGUAACACUUCAUUAAAAAGUUCAUCCUGUUCAUAUGCCGUGCUUGAGGAAUGUAUUUCUGGGGACAGAAAAUGAUUACUAUUUAUUGCUUUCUGCCUUUGUAGAGACAAAUGUCGGUGAUUCAGAUAGAACACGCAGAGACCAUGGAGAGGGGGAAGCCGAAGCCUGGUGGGCUCAGUGACCCUCGAUUGGGGACUAUUGACCGGAAAAUCAAGUGCGAGACAUGCAUGGCAGGGAUGGCGGAGUGUCCAGGCCACUUUGGACACCUUGAGCUUGCCAAGCCCAUGUUCCACAUCGGCUUCAUUAAGACUGUGCUCUCCAUUAUGCGCUGUGUCUGCUUUAACUGCUCCAAGAUCCUCGCGGAUGAGGUACAAUUUCCUGGUUAUGUUACAGGAUGUGUGUGUAUAUCUUACUAUACUUGAUGGAGUUAUGAUUUUUAUAUGACGCAUGGUAAACUGAAAUGAUACGAGAACCUUCUGUUUUCCUGCCAUUCAUGCAUAUAAAAAUUUUGCUUGUUGUUUUUAUUGUACUCGGUGGUGUUCAUCGUUAGCACCAUUUCUCACUUUGCACGAACUUGUUCAGGUAUCAAUUUGGCAUGUAAACUGCAAUUGUUUUACCUGUCCUUUAUCUUCCCUCAACGUAAUAUGUAUUUAUCCUUUGUUCUAAUACGUUUGAUGAAGCUUGUACGCUGAUGUGCGACUGUGCAUAAGUGUAUAUUUUGCAUUUAUUGUAUUAGCCCCUUGCCAAAAGCUAUUUUGUCAUGACGACAAUGGAACCUGACCGCACACAAGUUUUGAGUCUUCCACGUGUUCUUAGGAUGUUUAUCAUGUUUACCGUUUAUGUUGCCAAACCUUUAUGUCAUGUUAUUUACCCUUUAUCCAAUUUUUGUCAUGCAGGAUGAUACCAAAUUUAAGCAGGCUCUGAAAAUCCGGAAUCCAAAGAAUAGAUUGAAGAGAAUAUAUGAUGCUUGCAAGAGCAAAAAGGUCUGUGCAGGUGGCGAUGACCUUGAUGUUCAGGAGCAGCAAGACACUGACGAGCCUGUUAAGAAAAGAGGUGGUUGCGGUGCUCAGCAGCCAAAUAUUACAGUUGAUGGUAUGAAGAUGGUUGCAGAGUUUAAAGCUCCAAAGAAGAAAACUGAUGAUCAAGAUCAGCUCCCUGAGCCAGUGGAACGAAAGCAAAUCCUCUCAGCUGAGAGGGUAUAUCUAUAUCUCUGCUCAAUUCCGCAAGUCAUUCUGUGAAUGUUCUUGUAAUCAUGUGGUUUCUUACAUGGCUUGUUUGACCAGGUCCUUAAUGUUCUUAAGCGUAUAAGUGAUGAGGACUGUCUUCUGUUGGGUCUGAAUCCCAAAUUUGCCCGUCCUGAUUGGAUGAUACUUCAGGUUCUUCCGAUUCCUCCACCCCCUGUUAGACCAUCUGUCAUGAUGGACACUUCUUCCAGAAGUGAGGUAAGCAUAGUACCACUAUAGUUAUUAUGAGUCUAAUGGUUGUUGCAUGGAUAAAUAAUGCUCCCUGCUAUUAUUCUAACAUAUAAGUUUAAGGGCUUCUACAUCAGCCCCUGCGUAAAAGAAAGGCAUUUUUUUCACAGCUCACUGUUAUUCUUCUUGGUCUUUCUGUUGCAAACAGGAUGAUUUGACGCAUCAAUUAGCUAUGAUAAUACGGCAUAAUGAGAACUUGAGGAGGCAAGAAAGAAAUGGCGCUCCAGCUCACAUUAUAACAGAGUUUGCUCAGCUAUUGCAAUUUCAUAUUGCGACGUACUUUGAUAAUGAACUUCCUGGCCAACCCAGGGUGAGUAGGUCGAAAUGUUAUUUAUGUUGAACUUUCUGGGCACCAGGAUAAAGUCUAAUCUUUAUUUUUUUGUUGAAAUUCUUAGGCCACACAGCGUUCUGGAAGGCCUAUCAAAUCAAUUUGCAGCAGGCUGAAAGCAAAAGAAGGCCGCAUUAGAGGAAACUUGAUGGGAAAGCGUGUUGAUUUCUCAGCCCGUACUGUUAUCACACCAGAUCCAAAUAUAAACAUUGAUGAAUUAGGAGUACCAUGGAGUAUUGCUUUGAACCUGACAUAUCCUGAAACUGUCACUCCAUAUAACAUCGAGAGGUGGACUAGCUUGCUGUUAUUGACAAAUGUUAUAUAACCUCUGUGCUUUUGCUGACCAUCUGCAGUUAAAUCCAAUUAUUCCAGGUUGAAGGAACUUGUGGAAUAUGGGCCUCACCCUCCCCCAGGGAAGACAGGCGCAAAGUACAUUAUCAGAGAAGAUGGUCAGAGGCUUGAUCUUCGAUAUGUGAAGAAAAGCAGUGAUCAGCAUUUGGAGCUUGGUUACAAGGUGAGUAUUAACUUCUCAAUAAUUGUGCUUUUCUAAUGAUGUCAUUGUAAAUUUGUUUUAUGUUCUACUCACGUUUUGCCUGAUUUCCUCAGGUGGAGAGGCACCUCAAUGAUGGGGAUUUUGUUCUUUUCAAUCGGCAACCAAGUCUUCAUAAAAUGUCUAUCAUGGGGCAUCGCAUCAAAAUUAUGCCCUACUCAACUUUCCGGUUAAACUUGUCUGUCACUUCACCAUACAAUGCUGAUUUUGAUGGGGAUGAGAUGAAUAUGCAUGUCCCCCAGUCAUUUGAGACCAGGGCAGAAGUUCUAGAGUUAAUGAUGGUGCCAAAAUGCAUUGUCUCUCCACAAUCAAAUAGGCCUGUCAUGGGUAUUGUGCAGGACACACUGCUUGGGUGUCGAAAAAUUACUAAAAGGGACACUCUCAUUGAAAAGGUAAAUAAAAAAGAAACUUCAUGCUCACCCUUUCCAAUUGUAUUCUGUUCUGUUUUGUGGCUCAUUUAAAAUUCUAUUGCAGGAUGUAUUUAUGAACACCUUGAUGUGGUGGCAAGACUUCGAUGGAAAGAUUCCUGCACCUGCCAUUUUGAAACCUAGGCCAAUUUGGACUGGGAAACAAGUUUUUAACUUGAUUAUUCCUAAGCAAAUAAAUUUAAUUCGGUUUUCAGCCUGGCAUUCUGAAACAGAAACAGGAUUCAUUACUCCUGGUGAUACGAUGGUCAGGAUAGAGAAGGGAGAGCUUCUAUCUGGUACACUG